rnacentral:rRNA from 1 species
ACGCUCGACACCUACGGGGGGCAGCAGUAGGGAAUCUUCCACAAUGGACGCAAGUCUGAUGGAGCAACGCCGCGUGAGUGAAGAAGGUUUUCGGAUCGUAAAGCUCUGUUGUUGGUGAAGAAGGAUAGAGGUAGUAACUGGCCUUUAUUUGACGGUAAUCAACCAGAAAGUCACGGCUAACUACGUGCCAGCAGCAGCGGUAAUCUGAGCGGGCUGGCAAGGC